rfam:Ictidomys tridecemlineatus contig007882, whole genome shotgun sequence.
GGGAUUGUGGCUCAAUGGUAGAGCGCUCGCCUAGCACGUGGGAGGCCCUAGGUUCGAUCCUCAGCACCA